CUCUCUCUCUCUCUCUCUCUCUUUCUCUCUCUGCUCUUCCUGCAUUAUUAAUAUGUUUAAGUUGUUCUCUCCACCCAUUGCCUCAUUUCCAAAUUACCUCCUUUCUUCUCCUUUCACAUAUUCUGUCAGUUCUUGUUCCAAGCUCAUAUCAAUUUAUAAGCAGUAAUUUCUACAACCUAAUUUUUGUGUUUUGUCUACUUUUCAACCCAUAUUAAACUCUUUAUUUUGUUGGUUUUGUAACACAUAAUCCUAUUCUAUGAAAAGAUGCAUGGAAUGGAAGCCAAAGAAAGAGAUGGAUUGGGAUCAGUUUGAACGGGAUAUUGGUCCGGUUCAAUAAGAAAACAGUGCUCUCAAAGUGCUUGAGCUCGGCUUUUUGAUUGAGCCGUGCCAAUAUCACGUGCCACUGUUCCUCUUAUCAUAUAUCCCACCCUUUGCUCUAUUCCAAUUCAAAGGUAUACACUUUCUUUUUUUUUUUUUUUUUUUUUUUCAUUAUUCAUCUUGACAUAAAUUAGGGUUUUUGAAUUUUGUCUAGUGAAAGUUUCUCUAAGUUCUUAGCUUGUUAUAAUUCAAUAUCUACUUUCUCUAGACAUUCCCCAAUGCAAGGGAAAUGUUGAGAUAGUUGUGAGAUGCGAGUGGUAGGUCGAGUUGUAUUACAUUGAUUGAUCGACUACUCACAUUCUACAAGAUUUGCUCCACAUUUGAGGAAGGGAGUUGUUAAUAGCACUCUAAAAUGUAAUACACUAUUUUGUAUGUUCUUGCAAAAUUACAGUACAUAAUGAUGUUUUUAGAGUGUCAACAACAAUUCUCUUACUGAUUUACUAGCCUAAACUAACUCUCAGUAUUUGGAAUGCUGGGAUUAGAACAAAUGCUUGACCAUUUUAUUGUAUGUCGGCAAAUUUUGUUGAGUUUCUCACAAGCCUUUAACCAAAAGAAGUCAAUUGUAUUUUGGAUGAGUUGCCAUUUUCUCCAUAAGUUUAUGUGGAUGAGAAAGCUACUUCGAAACCGACGUCUUGGAUUGGCUUUGUAUGUUCAUAGUUUGGUUAAUUGAAAUCUUGUGUGCCACUUUUAGAUGCUACAUUUUGCCAGUUUGUUUACAUCAAACCAUUUUUGUUAUAAAGACAAAGAUUAUUCUACAGUAAAAUAAACCAAGGAUGAUUCGACAUUGUUAUGCAUAUGGCAAGAAAAUGCAUAUUGCCAAAGGUUAUUCUUGGUGUGGCAGUAAAUUAAAGGCAUAGCUGUUUUGUCCAGUUGUAGCAAAGUUUUCUGUGUGUUUUAUUAACUUUUGGGUUAAAUUGUCCUCAUAAAACACCAACUGUACUUUUGACAAUGUCCUAAGUAGUUUCUAAUGAAGAAAAUAAUUGUACUUUUU